UGAGCCUCACUACCCCGGCUAUCAGGACAGCUGCCAGAUCGCACCGUUUCCAGAAGCUGCGUUGCCAACGUCACAUCCCAAAAUAG
rnacentral:sRNA from 1 species